GCCAAAACUUCCAAUAACGGAAGGUCACUUGCGACAAUCUAUAGCCCUAGGUCCAAGACCUCACUUUACAUCUGACCAAAAGAUCCAACUGACAAUACGAAGUGAGCUCGACAAUUUUAUCUCCUCAAACUUAAUUCGGUACCAACAGACCACCAACAUACCCACCAUGCAAGUCUAUUACUUGAUGCACAGGAUAGCCAAUCGCACCAUGCGAUAC
rnacentral:lncRNA from 1 species